GGCCGCGUCGCGACGUUUCGAGGUAUCGUUUCCGCGUCACUCCGCUUUAGUUUCCGCGUUCGUUAUCGUUUAAGAGCGAGUCGCGGACGCUCAAAACGAUCGCGAGCGUCUCCCGCGCCGCGUCGAGCAUUCGUCGUGAUGCAAGCGUCACCCUCCGGCUGGCAGGCGGACGUCAAUAAUGCGAAAAUUCCAAAUCCACUCGGAAGCCCGUUCGUCCUGCCAUUUUACCGUCGAGAUGAACGCGAAGUGCAGCUGACGCGCGAUCGGCGCCGGAUUGUAAUCUUUGGAAACCUGAUGUCUCUGGUUUUGUUACGAAAAUUAUGAAUUCAAGGAAUUCAAAAAGAUUGGAUGAAAGCUUGAUGUUCGACAUAUAAAGGUCUUUUGACAUAUAAGUUCUGGAUAUUGAAAAUUGUAAAAGCUUCUUAAAAAAAGCUUGAUUACAGCACUUCAGUGCUUAAUACUAAUGACAACCAAAGGGAAGAGACGACAGGAAAACCAUAUAUAUAAUCCAGGAUAAUGAAUAGAGCCUGACAUCAAUAUUUAAAAAUAUCUUGGAAUAAUGAUGUUUGAAGUUAUACAACAAAGUCAUCAUUAUAAUCGGGCACAGUUGCAAGGAGAUAUACAAUCCGUAAUAAAAUACAUGGAGAAACUCAAGAAGAGAAUCUUCAUUGUAAAUUCUCUACAUCGUCUUGGAAAGGCCUUGUAAUAAAAAUUUCCAGAAACUGGGCCCGUUGGGAUCAAUCUUUAUUCUGUCUUUUCUCUCUUUUGACAAUAAACAUAUUAAUUAAUAUAAUUAUGUUUAAUUUAUUUUAUUUUUACAGAGAGGC